rnacentral:rRNA from 1 species
CCUACGGGAGGCAGCAGUGGGGGAUAUUGCACAAUGGGGGAAACCCUGAUGCAGCGACGCCGCGUGGGCGAAGAAGUAUUUCGGUAUGUAAAGCACUAUCAGCAGGGAAGAAGAAAUGACGGUACCUGAGUAAGAAGAACCGGCUAAAUAGGUGCCAGCAGCCGCGGUAAUACGGAUGGUGCAAGCGUUAUCCGGAUUUACUGGGAGUAAGGGGAGGGCAGGCGGCACGGCAAGUCCGAUGUGAAAGCCCUCGGCCCAACCGCGGGACUGCAUUGGGAACUACCGGGCUGGAGUGCCGGAGAGGUAGGCGGAAUUCCUAGUGUAGCGGUGAAAUGCGUAGAUAUUAGGAGGAACACCAGUGGCGAAGGCGGCCUCCUGGACGGUGACUGACGCUGAGGCUCGAAAGCGUGGGGAGCAAACAGGAUUAGAUACCCGUGUAGUC